rnacentral:rRNA from 1 species
AUUGAACGCUGGCGGCAGGCCUAACACAUGCAAGUCGAGCGGAUGAAGGGAGCUUGCUCCUGGAUCCAGCGGCGGACGGGUGAGUAAUGCCUAGGAAUCUGCCUGGUAGUGGGGGAUAACGUCCGGAAACGGGCGCUAAUACCGCAUACGUCCUGAGGGAGAAAGUGGGGGAUCUUCGGACCUCACGCUAUCAGAUGAGCCUAGGUCGGAUUAGCUAGUUGGUGGGGUAAAGGCCUACCAAGGCGACGAUCCGUAACUGGUCUGAGAGGAUGAUCAGUCACACUAGAACUGAGACACGGUCCAGACUCCUACGGGAGGCAGCAGUGGGGAAUAUUGGACAAUGGGCGAAAGCCUGAUCCAGCCAUGCCGCGUGUGUGAAGAAGGUCUUCGGAUUGUAAAGCACUUUAAGUUGGGAGGAAGGGCAGUAAGUUAAUACCUUGCUGUUUUGACGUUACCAACAGAAUAAGCACCGGCUAACUUCGUG